GACGAACGCUGGCGGCGUGCCUAAUACAUGCAAGUCGAGCGGACUUUCAAGAAGCUUGCUUUUUGAAAGUUAGCGGCGGACGGGUGAGUAACACGUGGGCAACCUGCCUGCAAGACGGGGAUAACUCCGGGAAACCGGGGCUAAUACCGGAUAAUAUCUUCCUUCGCAUGAAGGAAGGUUGAAAGGCGGCGCAAGCUGCCGCUUGCAGAUGGGCCCGCGGCGCAUUAGCUAGUUGGUGAGGUAACGGCUCACCAAGGCGACGAUGCGUAGCCGACCUGAGAGGGUGAUCGGCCACACUGGGACUGAGACACGGCCCAGACUCCUACGGGAGGCAGCAGUAGGGAAUCUUCCGCAAUAGACGAAAGUCUGACGGAGCAACGCCGCGUGAGCGAAGAAGGUCUUCGGAUCGUAAAGCUCUGUUGUCAGGGAAGAACAAGUACCGUUCGAACAGGGCGGUACCUGGACGGUACCUGACCAGAAAGCCACGGCUAACUACGU
rnacentral:rRNA from 1 species